rnacentral:rRNA from 1 species
UACAGAGGGGGCAAGCGUUGGUUCGGAAUUACUGGGCGUAAAGGGCGCGUAGGCGGCCCGCUAAGUCGAACGUGAAAUCCCCGGGCUCAACCCGGGAACUGCGUCCGAUACUGGUGGGCUUGAAUCCGGGAGAGGGAUGCGGAAUUCCGGGUGUGAGCGGUGGAAUGCGUAGAGAUCCGGAAGAACACCGGUGGCGAAGGCGGUCUGCUGGGCAGUUGCUGGACACUGAGGCGCGACAGCGUGGGGAGCAAACAGGG